CUUUAAUCUUCUGCAAAUAGAUUUUCCCUGUUUCAUCAGAUAAUAAAAGUCCCCAAAUUGAAAUUUCAUCCUUCAUCUUUCUUGCAUCAAAAUUUUCAAACACAAAACCAAUAUCCUCCUCCUUCACAUUACUAAAUCAUCCCUUUUAAUAUUUACAAAUCCUCAAUCUCCACUUUUACCAUUCCCACUCUCUUCAUAUACUUUGCCAAACUGAAGCCACUAUCUUUA